rnacentral:rRNA from 1 species
CCUACGGGAGGCUGCAGUGAGGAAUAUUGGUCAAUGGACGAGAGUCUGAACCAGCCAAGUAGCGUGAAGGAUGACUGCCCUAUGGGUUGUAAACUUCUUUUAUAAAGGAAUAAAACGAGGCACGUGUGCCUUUUUGCAUGUACUUUAUGAAUAAGGAUCGGCUAACUCCGUGCCAGCAGCCGCGGUAAUACGGAGGAUCCGAGCGUUAUCCGGAUUUAUUGGGUUUAAAGGGAGCGUAGAUGGGUUGUUAAGUCAGUUGUGAAAGUUUGCGGCUCAACCGUAAAAUUGCAAUUGAUACUGGCAGUCGUGAGUACAGUUGAGGUAAGCGGAAUUCGUGGUGUAGCGGUGAAAUGCUUAGAUAUCACGAAGAACCCCGAUUGCGAAGGCAGCUUACUAAACUGUGACUGACAUUAAUGCUCGAAAGUGUGGGUAUCAAACAGGAUUAGAUACCCCAGUAGUC